UUGGUGCUGCGUCAUAACCUGGUGAGUGUGGGAAAAGCAAGAGGCGGAUGGUGAAGCCGAGGAGCAGAAGCACGUUCUGGUCCCGAGGCCCGGCCUUGUGUGUCCUUCACACACCCCAGACAGGAAGAGGGUGUCUGGAGCGUCUUGGGAUCAGCAACCGUGGACUUGUUGGUAGCAAAUGCGUUUUUAUUUUAAAAGAUGAAGGAACUGAGGUGCAGAGCUCCCACAACUGGUAUCGAGAAGCCAGCCCAGGCCUGUACGAUUCCGGAGCCUGCAAUGCUGACUGCUCUAGUUUAUUCCUUUGAUAGUUUAUUUGGCUCAGGCUGUUCUGAAUUAACUCUGGAAGUAAUAAUUUAGUUAAAAAAAAAAAAUGAAC